rnacentral:rRNA from 1 species
GACGAACGCUGGCGGCGUGCCUAAUACAUGCAAGUAGAACGCACAGUUUAUACCGUAGCUUGCUACACCAUAAACUGUGAGUUGCGAACAGGUGAGUAACGCGUAGGUAACCUGCCUGGUAGCGGGGGAUAACUAUUGGAAACGCUAGCUAAUACCGCAUAAUAUUGAUUAUUGCAUGAUAAUUGAUUGAAAGAUGCUAUUGCAUCACUACCAGAUGGACCUGCGUUGUAUUAGCUAGUAGGUGAGGUAACGGCUCACCUAGGCGACGAUACAUAGCCGACCUGAGAUGGUGGGCGGCCACACUGGGACUGUGACACGGCCCAGACUCCUACGGGAAGCAGCAGUAGGGAAUCUUCCGCAAUGGGCGGAAGUCUGACCGAGCAACGCCGCGUGAGUGAAGAAGGUUUUCGGGUCGUAAAGCUCUGUUGUAAGAGAAGAACGGGUGUGAGAGUGGAAAGUUCACACUGUGACGGUAUCUUACCAGAAAGGGACGGCUAACUACGUG